rnacentral:rRNA from 1 species
CCUACGGGUGGCAGCAGUGAGGAAUAUUGGUCAAUGGACGCAAGUCUGAACCAGCCAUGCCGCGUGCAUGAAGACGGCUCUAUGAGUUGUAAACUGCUUUUGUACGAGGGUAAACGCUGAUGCUCGUAUCUUUCUUCAAGUAUCUUACGAAUAAGGAUCGGCUAACUCCAUUCCAGCAGCCGCGGUAAGACGGAGGAUUCAAGCGUUAUCCGGAUUUAUUGGGUUUAAAGGGUGCGUAGGCGGUCGGAUAAGUUAGAGGUGAAAUCCCGAGGCUCAACUUCGGAAUUGACUCUGAUACUGGUCGGCUAGAGAGUAGUUGAGGUAGGUGGAAUGUAUGGUGUAGCGGUGAAAUGCUUAGAGAUCAUACAGAACACCGAUUGCGAAGGCAGCUUACCAAGCUACGUCUGACGUUGAGGCACGAAAGCGUGGGGAGCAAACAGGAUUAGAUACCCGAGUAGUC